rnacentral:lncRNA from 1 species
GCUGGUGAUCGAGAAUGCAUUUUUUAUUCAUAAAUUAAAUUCAAAUAUUAUAAAUUUGAAUAAAUAUGAUAAAUCUAAAUUUAAAUCUAAAUUUAAAUUAAAUUCAAAUAUUAUACAUUAGGGAUGGCAUUGCCAUCACUAAUAACAAAAAAAACUUUCACUAAUAACUCUUCACCCUUUUAACGAUGGAAUUAAUUUCUGUUGUAAUAAGCAGUCGGUGAAUAUUACUAUUAGUAAGCCAUCGUCGCUAUUACACUAUUUUCUUAUAGUGGGAAGAGAUGUGAGGCGACAACUAGCCUAGGGAUAAGGG